CGGUCCUAAGGUAGCGAAAUUCCUUGUCGGGUAAGUUCCGACCCGCACGAAAGGCGCAACGAUCUGGGCACUGUCUCAACGAGAGACUCGGUGAAAUUAUAGUACCUGUGAAGAUGCAGGUUACCCGCGACAGGACGGAAAGACCCCGUGGAGCUUUACUGCAACCUGAUAUGGAAUGUUUGUACCGCUUGUACAGGAUAGGUAGGAGCCGAAGAGACGUGUGCGCUAGCAUACGAGGAGGCAAUGGUGGGAUACUACCCUGGCUGUAUGACCAUUCUAACCCGCCACGCUUAGCGCGUGGGGAGACAGUGUCAGGUGGGCAGUUUGACUGGGGCGGUCGCCUCCUAAAGAGUAACGGAGGCGCCCAAAGGUUCCCUCAGAAUGGAUGGAAAUCAUUCGCAGAGUGUAAAGGCACAAGGGAGCUUGACUGCGAGACUGACAAGUCGAGCAGGGACGAAAGUCGGGCUUAGUGAUCCGGUGGUUCCGCAUGGAAGGGCCAUCGCUCAACGGAUAAAAGCUACCCCGGGGAUAACAGGCUUAUCUCCCCCAAGAGUCCACAUCGACGGGGAGGUUUGGCACCUCGAUGUCGGCUCGUCGCAUCCUGGGGCUGUAGUCGGUCCCAAGGGUUGGGCUGUUCGCCCAUUAAAGCGGCACGCGAGCUGGGUUCAGAACGUCGUGAGACAGUUCGGUCCCUAUCCGUCGCGGGCGCAGGAAAUUUGAGAGGAGCUGUCCUUAGUACGAGAGGACCGGGAUGGACACACCGCUGGUGUACCAGUUGUUCCGCCAGGAGCAUCGCUGGGUAGCUAUGUGUGGCAGGGAUAAACGCUGAAAGCAUCUAAGCGUGAAGCCCCCCUCAAGAUGAGAUUUCCCAUUUCUUCGGAAAGUAAGAUCCCUGAAAGAUGAUCAGGUAGAUAGGUUUGGAGUGGAAGUGUAGCGAUACAUGGAGCGGACAAAUACUAAUCGAUCGAGGACUUAACCAAAAA
rnacentral:rRNA from 1 species